GACGUAGGGCGCGAGCGUUGUCCGGAUUUAUUGGGCGUAAAGAGCUCGUAGGCGGCUUGUCGCGUCGACCGUGAAAACUUGGGGCUCAACCCCAAGCCUGCGGUCGAUACGGGCAGACUUGAGUUCGGCAGGGGAGACUGGAAUUCCUGGUGUAGCGGUGAAAUGCGCAGAUAUCAGGAGGAACACCGGUGGCGAAGGCGGGACUCUGGGCCGAUACUGACGCUGAGGAGCGAAAGCGUGGGGAGCAAACAGG
rnacentral:rRNA from 1 species